UACGUAGGGGCGAGCGUUAUCCGGAAUGACUGGGCGUAAAGGGCGUGUAGGCGGCCGAUUAAGUCCGGAGUGAAAGUCCUGCUUUCAAGGUGGGAAUUGCUUUGGGAACUGGUUGGCUUGAGUGCGGAAGAGGUAAGUGGAAUUCCCAGUGUAGCGGUGAAAUGCGUAGAGAUUGGGAGGAACACCAGUGGCGAAGGCGACUUACUGGGCCGUAACUGACGCUGAGGCGCGAAAGCGUGGGGAGCGAACAGGAUUAGAUAUCCGGGUAGUCCCUGAGCGGG
rnacentral:rRNA from 1 species